AGAGUUUGAUCAUGGCUCAGGAUAAACGCUGGCGGCGUGCCUAACACAUGCAAGUCGAACGCCCUACGCAAGUAGGGAGUGGCGGACGGGUGAGGAACACGUGGGUACCUGCCCUUCAGUGAGGAAUACCGGCGAGAAAUCGCCGACAAGACCGCAUAGGCUUGGAAACAAGCAAAGCUCGCAAGAGCGCUGAAGGAUGG
rnacentral:rRNA from 1 species